rnacentral:rRNA from 1 species
GACGAACGCUGGCGGCGUGCUUAAUACAUGCAAGUCGAACGGAAAGGCCCUGCUUUUGUGGGGUGCUCGAGUGGCGAACGGGUGAGUAACACGUGAGUAACCUGCCCUUGACUUUGGGAUAACUUCAGGAAACUGGGGCUAAUACCGGAUAGGAGCUCCUGCUGCAUGGUGGGGGUUGGAAAGUUUCGGCGGUUGGGGAUGGACUCGCGGCUUAUCAGCUUGUUGGUGGGGUAGUGGCUUACCAAGGCUUUGACGGGUAGCCGGCCUGAGAGGGUGACCGGCCACAUUGGGACUGAGAUACGGCCCAGACUCCUACGGGAGGCAGCAGUGGGGAAUAUUGCACAAUGGGCGGAAGCCUGAUGCAGCAACGCCGCGUGCGGGAUGACGGCCUUCGGGUUGUAAACCGCUUUCGCCUGUGACGAAGCGUGAGUGACGGUAAUGGGUAAAGAAGCACCGGCUAACUACGUGCCAGCAGCCGCGGUGAUACGUAGGGUGCGAGCGUUGUCCGGAUUUAUUGGGCGUAAAGGGCUCGUAGGUGGUUGAUCGCGUCGGAAGUGUAAUCUUGGGGCUUAACCCUGAGCGUGCUUUCGAUACGGGUUGACUUGAGGAAGGUAGGGGAGAAUGGAAUUCCUGGUGGAGCGGUGGAAUGCGCAGAUAUCAGGAGGAACACCAGUGGCGAAGGCGGUUCUCUGGGCCUUUCCUGACGCUGAGGAGCGAAAGCGUGGGGAGCGAACAGGCUUAGAUACCCUGGUAGUCCACGCUGUAAACGGUGGGUACUAGGUGUGGGGUCCAUUCCACGGGUUCCGUGCCGUAGCUAACGCUUUAAGUACCCCGCCUGGGGAGUACGGCCGCAAGGCUAAAACUCAAAGGAAUUGACGGGGCCCCGCACAAGCGGCGGAGCAUGCGGAUUAAUUCGAUGCAACGCGUAGAACCUUACCUGGGUUUGACAUGGAUCGGGAGUGCUCAGAGAUGGGUGUGCCUCUUUUGGGGUCGGUUCACAGGUGGUGCAUGGCUGUCGUCAGCUCGUGUCGUGAGAUGUUGGGUUAAGUCCCGCAACGAGCGCAACCCUUGUUCACUGUUGCCAGCACGUUAUGGUGGGGACUCAGUGGAGACCGCCGGGGUCAACUCGGAGGAAGGUGGGGAUGACGUCAAGUCAUCAUGCCCCUUAUGUCCAGGGCUUCACGCAUGCUACAAUGGCUGGUACAGAGAGUGGCGAGCCUGUGAGGGUGAGCGAAUCUCGGAAAGCCGGUCUCAGUUCGGAUUGGGGUCUGCAACUCGACCUCAUGAAGUCGGAGUCGCUAGUAAUCGCAGAUCAGCAACGCUGCGGCGAAUACGUUCCCGGGGCU